rnacentral:rRNA from 1 species
AUGGACACUUCCCUGGCUGCCGCCGCUGUCACCGCAGAGGCCUCCGCCCCCGCCGCCGCAUCAACGGAACCUUCCGCGGCUCCUGAUGCCUCCCCCGCAGCCUCCUCCUCCUCCGCUGCCGGCGCCGGCGCCGAAGACCUCGCGGGGGGCGUGGCGGCAUUGAGCCUGGACGAGCGGUUCGACUUGCUGAUGAGCAUAGGCGAGGAGUGCAUUCAGCCCGACGAGCUUAAGCGGCUGCUGCAGAACAAGCCCGUCCCUAUCUGCUACGACGGGUUCGAGCCCUCCGGCCGCAUGCACAUUGCCCAGGGUGUUGUGAAGACAAUUAAUGUUAACAAGAUGAUCAGAGCGGGAUGCAAAGUGAAAAUCUGGAUAGCAGACUGGUUUGCACAGCUAAACAACAAAAUGGGUGGCGAUCUGAAAAAAAUCCAGACUGUCGGGCGCUACAUGAUUGAAAUAUGGAAAGCAGCUGGUAUGAACCUUGAUGGCGUUGAAUUCUUAUGGUCUUCAGAGGAAAUUAAUAGGCGUGCAAAUGAAUACUGGCCACUUGUAAUGGACAUUGGCAGGAAAAAUAAUAUCAAAAGAAUAACGAGGUGUUGUACGAUUAUGGGUCGCUCUGACAAUGAGGAAUUGACUGCUGCACAGAUCUUCUAUCCUUGCAUGCAGUGUGCUGAUAUAUUCUUCCUGAAGGCUGACAUAUGCCAGUUGGGUAUGGACCAAAGGAAGGUUAACAUGUUAGCAAGGGAAUAUUGCGAUGACAUCAAAAGGAAAAACAAGCCAAUUAUUCUGUCACAUCAUAUGCUCCCCGGUUUCAAAGAAGGCCAGGAGAAGAUGUCAAAGAGUGAUCCAACAUCGGCUAUCUUUAUGGAAGAUGAUGAGGCUCAGGUAAAUUUGAAGAUAAAGCAAGCUUUCUGUCCCCCGAAAAUUGUUGAUAAAAAUCCGUGCCUGGAGUACAUCCAGUACAUCGUUUUCCCUUGGUUUGACAAGUUUGAGGUUGUCCGCAAAGAAAACAAUGGCGGUAACAAGACAUUUUUAACCAUGGAUGAACUUGUUGCUGAUUAUGAAGCGGGUGAUUUGCAUCCUGCCGACGUUAAACCUGCUUUGGCGAAAGCGAUCAAUGAAAUAUUGAAGCCUGUUCGUGACCACUUCAACAGCAGCAGUGAAGCCAAAAUUCUCCUCAAUACUGUUAAGAAGUACAGGGUAAGCAAUUGA